rnacentral:rRNA from 1 species
AUGAACGCUGGCGGCGUGCCUAAUACAUGCAAGUCGAACGCUUUGUGGUUCAACUGAUUUGAAGAGCUUGCUCAGAUAUGACGAUGGACAUUGCAAAGAGUGGCGAACGGGUGAGUAACACGUGGGAAACCUACCUCUUAGCAGGGGAUAACAUUUGGAAACAGAUGCUAAUACCGUAUAACAAUGACAACCGCAUGGUUGUUAUUUAAAAGAUGGUUCUGCUAUCACUAAGAGAUGGUCCCGCGGUGCAUUAGCUAGUUGGUAAGGUAAUGGCUUACCAAGGCGAUGAUGCAUAGCCGAGUUGAGAGACUGAUCGGCCACAAUGGGACUGAGACACGGCCCAUACUCCUACGGGAGGCAGCAGUAGGGAAUCUUCCACAAUGGGCGAAAGCCUGAUGGAGCAACGCCGCGUGUGUGAUGAAGGGUUUCGGCUCGUAAAACACUGUUGUAAGAGAAGAAUGACAUUGAGAGUAACUGUUCAAUGUGUGACGGUAUCUUACCAGAAAGGAACGGCUAAAUACGUGCCAGCAGCCGCGGUAAUACGUAUGUUCCAAGCGUUAUCCGGAUUUAUUGGGCGUAAAGCGAGCGCAGACGGUUAUUUAAGUCUGAAGUGAAAGCCCUCAGCUCAACUGAGGAAUUGCUUUGGAAACUGGAUGACUUGAGUGCAGUAGAGGAAAGUGGAACUCCAUGUGUAGCGGUGAAAUGCGUAGAUAUAUGGAAGAACACCAGUGGCGAAGGCGGCUUUCUGGACUGUAACUGACGUUGAGGCUCGAAAGUGUGGGUAGCAAACAGGAUUAGAUACCCUGGUAGUCCACACCGUAAACGAUGAGUGCUAGGUGUUUGAGGGUUUCCGCCCUUAAGUGCCGCAGCUAACGCAUUAAGCACUCCGCCUGGGGAGUACGACCGCAAGGUUGAAACUCAAAGGAAUUGACGGGGACCCGCACAAGCGGUGGAGCAUGUGGUUUAAUUCGAAGCAACGCGAAGAACCUUACCAGGUCUUGACAUCCCUUGACAACUCCAGAGAUGGAGYGUUCCCUUCGGGGACAAGGUGACAGGUGGUGCAUGGUUGUCGUCAGCUCGUGUCGUGAGAUGUUGGGUUAAGUCCCGCAACGAGCGCAACCCUUAUUACUAGUUGCCAGCAUUCAGUUGGGCACUCUAGUGAGACUGCCGGUGACAAACCGGAGGAAGGUGGGGAUGACGUCAAAUCAUCAUGCCCCUUAUGACCUGGGCUACACACGUGCUACAAUGGCGUAUACAACGAGUUGCCAACCCGCGAGGGUGAGCUAAUCUCUUAAAGUACGUCUCAGUUCGGAUUGUAGGCUGCAACUCGCCUACAUGAAGUCGGAAUCGCUAGUAAUCGCGGAUCAGCACGCCGCGGUGAAUACGUUCCCGGGUCUUGUACACACCGCCCGUCACACCAUGAGAGUUUGUAACACCCAAAGCCCGUGGGGUAACCUUCGGGAGCCAGCCGUCUAA